rnacentral:lncRNA from 1 species
CUAUUGUUAAAUUCACUCUUGCAAUUUUAUUUUGGUUUUCACGCACUUUUUGAUUGAAGCAUGGUUCACGCUCUUNAUUUUAUUUGGAGAAGGAUGCAAUGAAUCAACGUNUGGGAGUGCAUUGAUUUUGAUUCUCUUUGCUUUGAAUUAGUAGGCGGUGCUUCAAAUUUUUUGGCUUAUGUGCCACGACCUACUAUUGUUGUCACGACACAUUGAAUGGAGAUGGAAACCUUGCUGGAGCACACACACGUCAGGGGNUGGUGAUUUAAUUUCAUUUAGGAAUGUAGAUAUUUUGAUUUCAUGCGGUGUUUUGCAUUUAAUUUGGUUCAGCAUUUAACUUCCUGAUUCAGCAAGUUAUGUUUUUCACUUUUAAUUCAACUUUAAAUUUAGGGGUAGCGCUGAUUCCAUUUACCAGAGAAAGCACAUUGCAUUUAUUUUUUUUCUUAUGGAAGGUAACAUAGUAAACUUUGCUUUUAAUUGCAAGUAGCAC